rnacentral:ncRNA from 2 species
GAUGGCCGACACGGGAGUCCCGGGGACGCGGGGCUGAGAGUGGGCCAGCAGCCGGCCCUGACCGUCGUACCUGAUCCGGGUCAUGCCGGCGAAGGGAGGUGCAGAUGCCUACAA